rnacentral:rRNA from 1 species
GCCUAUAAUGCAGUCGAGCGGACAGAAGGGAGCUUGCUCCCGGAUGUUAGCGGCGGACGGGUGAGUAACACGUGGGUAACCUGCCUGUAAGACUGGGAUAACUCCGGGAAACCGGAGCUAAUACCGGAUAGUUCCUUGAACCGCAUGGUUCAAGGAUGAAAGACGGUUUCGGCUGUCACUUACAGAUGGACCCGCGGCGCAUUAGCUAGUUGGUGAGGUAACGGCUCACCAAGGCGACGAUGCGUAGCCGACCUGAGAGGGUGAUCGGCCACACUGGGACUGAGACACGGCCCAGACUCCUACGGGAGGCAGCAGUAGGGAAUCUUCCGCAAUGGACGAAAGUCUGACGGAGCAACGCCGCGUGAGUGAUGAAGGUUUUCGGAUCGUAAAGCUCUGUUGUUAGGGAAGAACAAGUGCAAGAGUAACUGCUUGCACCUUGACGGUACCUAACCAGAAAGCCACGGCUAACUACGUGCCAGCAGCCGCGGUAAUACGUAGGUGGCAAGCGUUGUCCGGAAUUAUUGGGCGUAAAGGGCUCGCAGGCGGUUUCUUAAGUCUGAUGUGAAAGCCCCCGGCUCAACCGGGGAGGGUCAUUGGAAACUGGGAAACUUGAGUGCAGAAGAGGAGAGUGGAAUUCCACGUGUAGCGGUGAAAUGCGUAGAGA